rnacentral:rRNA from 1 species
CCGCCGGCGACCGGCGCACGGGUGAGUAACACGUAUGCGACCUGGCCGUGACAGAUGGAUAACCGGGAGAAAUCCCGCCUAAUACAACAUAAUGCCGGGAGGGGACAUCCCCUGCCGGCCAAAGGGGGCGACCCCGGUCACGGAUGGGCAUGCGGCGCAUUAGGUAGUUGGUGGGGCAACGGCCCACCAAGCCGACGAUGCGUAGGGGUUCUGAGAGGAAGGUCCCCCACAUUGGAACUGAGACACGGUCCAAACUCCUACGGGAGGCAGCAG